rnacentral:rRNA from 1 species
UACGUAGGGGGCAAGCGUUGUCCGGAAUCAUUGGGCGUAAAGAGCGUGUAGGCGGCCAGAUAAGUCCGCUGUGAAAGUCGGGGGGCUCAACCCUCGAAUGCCGGUGGAUACUGUCGGGCUAGAGUGCGGAAGAGGCGAGUGGAAUUCCUGGUGUAGCGGUGAAAUGCGCAGAUAUCAGGAGGAACACCUAUUGCGAAGGCAGCUCGCUGGGACGUGACUGACGCUGAGACGCGAAAGCGUGGGGAGCAAACAGG